rnacentral:lncRNA from 1 species
AUAGAUAGUUAAAUUUUAUCUUUUGAAGAUACCACCUUAAAAAUAAAAUAAUAUAUAUGCUUGUAAAAAUUCAUAAAAUUUAAUGAUAUUUAAUAUCUUAAAAUCUUUAAGCAAUUUUAUCAUUUGAGAUUUUUUUUUAAGUUAAAAAUCCUCAAUCCUUAAAGACAUUCAUUAUCAUGCAUUCUUAAAUUUCUUCUUAAUCU